AUUGAACGCUGGCGGCAUGCCUUACACAUGCAAGUCGAACGGUAGGGGGGCAACCCCUGAGAGUGGCGAACGGGUGAGUAAUGCAUCGGAACGUGCCCAGUUGUGGGGGAUAACGUAGCGAAAGCUACGCUAAUACCGCAUACGACCUGAGGGUGAAAGGGGGGGAUCGCAAGACCUCUCGCAAUUGGAGCGGCCGAUGUCAGAUUAGCUAGUUGGUGGGGUAAAAGCCUACCAAGGCGACGAUCUGUAGCUGGUCUGAGAGGACGACCAGCCACACUGGGACUGAGACACGGCCCAGACUCCUACGGGAGGCAGCAGUGGGGAAUUUUGGACAAUGGACGCAAGCCUGAUCCAGCCAUGCCGCGUGCAGGAAGAAGGCCUUCGGGUUGUAACCUGCUUUUGUCAGGGAAGAAAUCCCUUGGGAUAAUACCUCGGGGGGAUGACGGUACCUGAAGAAUAAGCACCGGCUAACUACGUGCCAGCAGCCGCAGUAAUAC
rnacentral:rRNA from 1 species